rnacentral:rRNA from 1 species
GUGCCUAAUACAUGCAAGUCGAGCGAGCGGAAUAACAGAUUUACUUCGGUAAUGACGUUAGGAAAGCGAGCGGCGGAUGGGUGAGUAACACGUGGGGAACCUGCCCCAUAGUCUGGGAUACCACUUGGGAAACAGGUGCUAAUACCGGAUAAGAAAGCAGAUCGCAUGAUCAGCUUUUAAAAGGCGGCGUAAGCUGUCGCUAUGGGAUGGCCCGCGGUGCAUUAGCUAGUUGGUAAGGUAAGGCUUACCAAGGCGAUGAUGCAUAGCCGAGUUGAGAGACUGAUCGGGCCACAUUGGGGACUGAGACAUGGGGCCCAAACUCCUACGGGGGGAGGGGCAGCAGUAGGGGGAAUCUUCCACAAUGGACGCAAGUCUGAUGGAGCAACGCCGCGUGAGUGAAGAAGGUUUUCGGAUCGUAAAGCUCUGUUGUUGGUGAAGAAGGAUAGAGGUAGUAACUGGCCUUUAUUUGACGGUAAUCAACCAGAAAGUCACGGCUAACUACGUGCCAGCAGCCGCGGUAAU